CCUACGGGAGGCAGCAGUGGGGAAUAUUGGACAAUGGGCGAAAGCCUGAUCCAGCCAUGCCGCGUGUGUGAAGAAGGCCUUCGGGUUGUAAAGCACUUUCAGUGGGGAAGAAAGCCUUGGGGCUAAUACCCUCGAGGAAGGACAUCACCCACAGAAGAAGCACCGGCUAACUCCGUGCCAGCAGCCGCGGUAAUACGGAGGGUGCGAGCGUUAAUCGGAAUUACUGGGCGUAAAGCGCGCGUAGGCGGUCUGAUAAGCCGGUUGUGAAAGCCCCGGGCUCAACCUGGGAACGGCAUCCGGAACUGUCAGGCUAGAGUGCAGGAGAGGAAGGUAGAAUUCCCGGUGUAGCGGUGAAAUGCGUAGAGAUCGGGAGGAAUACCAGUGGCGAAGGCGGCCUUCUGGACUGACACUGACGCUGAGGUGCGAAAGCGUGGGUAGCAAACAGGAUUAGAUACCCGAGUAGC
rnacentral:rRNA from 1 species